GCCUUAGUAGCGGCGAGUGAAGCGGCAAAAGCUCAAAUUUGAAAUCUGGCACCUUCGGUGUCCGAGUUGUAAUUUGAAGAUUGUAACCUUGGGGUUGGCUCUUGUCUAUGUUUCUUGGAACAGGACGUCACAGAGGGUGAGAAUCCCGUGCGAUGAGAUGCCCAAUCCUAUGUAAGGUGCUUUCGAAGAGUCGAGUUGUUUGGGAAUGCAGCUCUAAGUGGGUGGUAAAUUCCAUCUAAAGCUAAAUAUUGGCGAGAGACCGAUAGCGAACAAGUACAGUGAUGGAAAGAUGAAAAGAACUUUGAAAAGAGAGUGAAAAAGUACGUGAAAUUGUUGAAAGGGAAGGGUUUGAGAUCAGACUCGAUAUUUUGUGAGCCUUGCCUUCGUGGCGGGGUGACCCGCAGCUUAUCGGGCCAGCAUCGGUUUGGGCGGUAGGAUAAUGGCGUAGGAAUGUGACUUUGCUUCGGUGAAGUGUUAUAGCCUGCGUUGAUGCUGCCUGCCUAGACCGAGGACUGCGAUUUUAUCAAGGAUGCUGGCAUAAUGAUCCCAAACCGCCCGUCUUGC
rnacentral:rRNA from 1 species